ACCUCAUGGUUGGGACAUUACAUGAGUUUCCCAUUAAAUCUCUCCCAUACCUCAUAUAGAGGUUCUCUAUUCAAUUAAUGAAAAUUAGUGAUUUUGUCAUGCAAUAU
rnacentral:snoRNA from 1 species